rnacentral:rRNA from 1 species
AUUGAACGCUGGCGGCAUGCCUUACACAUGCAAGUCGAACGGUAACAGGUCUUCGGAUGCUGACGAGUGGCGAACGGGUGAGUAAUAUAUCGGAACGUGCCCAGUCGUGGGGGAUAACGCAGCGAAAGCUGUGCUAAUACCGCAUACGAUCUAUGGAUGAAAGCGGGGGAUCGCAAGACCUCGCGCGAUUGGAGCGGCCGAUAUCAGAUUAGGUAGUUGGUGGGGUAAAGGCCCACCAAGCCAACGAUCUGUAGCUGGUCUGAGAGGACGACCAGCCACACUGGAACUGAGACACGGUCCAGACUCCUACGGGAGGCAGCAGUGGGGAAUUUUGGACAAUGGGCGCAAGCCUGAUCCAGCAAUGCCGCGUGCAGGAUGAAGGCCUUCGGGUUGUAAACGUGCUUUUGUUACGGAACGAAAAGGACGUCUGGUUAAUACCUGGGGCGUCAUGACGGUACCGUAAGAAUAAGCACCGGCUAACUACGUGCC